rnacentral:lncRNA from 1 species
AGACUAAAAAGGUCGGGCUCUAAUUCUCCAUGGGAAGGUAAAAAUAGACUACGUCUAUUUCUUCUAAUUCUUUAUUGGGCUCUAAAAAUAAUUUAAGACGUUGUCCAUUUACCUUGAAUAACGUACCUUCGUCAUUUUGAAGCGUGAUAGCUCCGUGGGAUGAUGAAUUAAUUACCUUGAAUGGUCCUUCCCAUUUGCUCCGGAGUUUUCCAUGCCCGAAAAGCUUUACCCUGGAAUUAAAAAGUAAUACCUUAUCUCCGGGUGUGAACUCCUUCUUCUUGAUUCUCUUGUCAUGCCACCUUUUGACUCUUUCUUUGUAGAUCUUUGAAUUGUGAUAUGCUUUCUCUCGCCAUUCUUCCAAUUCUGAUAGUUGCAUUCUUCUAUAAUCUCCAGCAACAUCUAGGUCCAUAUUCCAUCUCUUUAUGGCCCAGUGUGCUUUGAACUCUAGUUCAACGGGUAGAUGGCAAGUCUUCCCGUACACCAAUUGGUAUGGAGACAUUCCAAUUGGGGUCUUGUAUGCUGUCCGGUAUGCCCAGAGUGCAUCGGGUAACUUGUCUUUCCACGCCGUUCCCAUUUCAUUUACUGUCUUCUGAAGAAUAUUCUUGAUUUGUUUGUUGGAAGUUUCUGCUUGGCCACUUGUCUGAGGAUGAUAGGGGGUAGCGACGUUGUGACGGAUUCCAUGUUUUGAUAGAUAUUGCUUGAAGCGUUUGUCGAUGAAGUGUGCUCCUCCAUCACUUAUCACUACUCUGGGGACUCCAAAUCUUGGAAAUAUAAUUUCUUCAAACAUCCUCUUUGAACUGAUGUUGUCGGCAUGCUUGCAAGGUAAUGCCUCUACCCACUUGGAGACAUAGUCAACUGCCACCAAGAUGUACUCACACUUCUUUGAUGGAGGAAAUGGACCCAUGUAGUCUAUUCCCCAGACAUCAAAGAGCUCAAUCUGAAGGUUGUUGGUGAGUGGCAUUGCAUCCCUUGUAUUUAUGUUUCCGUGCCUUUGACAUGGCCCACAUCUUCUGAUAUAUUGCUUCGUAUCUUCAUACAUUGUAGGCCAGUAGAAUCCACACUGCCAGAUCUUUGAAUGUGUGCGGAAUGCUCCAUAGUGACCUCCAUAUGGUGAUGAAUGACAUCUAUCGAUGAUUUUCCAUCCUUCCUCAGUGGUCACACACCUCCUGAGUAAGCCAUCAGAGCAUACUUGGAAGAGGUAUGGCUCAUCCCAUAUAUGUGAACGACUUUCUUGAAUAAGCUUCUUCUUGUUUGCUCCUGGUGGUACAUACCCUGAAACCAUAAAAUUAACAAUAUCUGCAUACCAGGGGUCAGACCUAUUAAUCCCGUAGAGCAUGUCAUCCCGGAGUGAAUCAUUGAUGGGGGUUUCCUGUGGACUCUUAAAAUACAUUCUAGACAAGUGAUCAGCAAUAGAAUUUUCUACUCCCUUUUUAUCUUUUAUUUCUAAGUCAAAUUCUUAGAGUAAUAAGAUCCAUCUAAUCAGGCGAGGUUUAGCAUCUUUCAAAUAUUUUAGUGCAGCAUGAUCAAUGUAAACAAUUAUUUUAGCUCCAACUAAAUAAGAUCUAAAUUUAUCAAUGGCAAAGACAACAGCCAGAAGCUCUUUUUCAGUGGUUGCAUAAUUAAGUUGAGCUCCUGUCAAAGUUUUACUAGCAUAAGCAAUUGCAUGAUGCUUCUUAUUUUUAGUUUGUCCCAAAACUGCCCCCAUAGCAUAAUCACUGGCAUCACACAUAAUUUCAAAAGGCAACGACCAAUCAGGAGGUUGAAUGAUUGGUGCAGAGAUGAGUGCUUUCUUUAAUAAAUUAAAAGAUGUUAGACAUGCAUCAUCAAAUUCGAAAAGAGCAUCCUUGGCUAGCAAAAGAGUAAGUGGUCUAGCAAUAAAUAAAAAAUCCUUUAUGAAUCUACGAUAAAAACCAGCAUGGCCAAGAAAGCUUCGAAUUCCUUUUAUAUUCACAGGUGGAGGUAGUUGUUUAAUUACUUCAAUUUUAGCUUUAUCUACCUCAAUACCUCUUUCAGACACUAGGUGUCCCAGCACUAUUCCUUCUCUAACCAUAAAAUGACAUUUUUCCCAAUUAAGGACUAAGUGCUUUUCUUCACAUCUUUGCAAAACCUUGUCUAAGUUUUUAAGACAACUAUCAAAAGUUUUUCCAUAAACAGAGAAAUCAUCCAUGAAAACUUCCAUAAUCUCUUCAAUCAUAUCAGAAAAUAUAGACAUCAUGCAUCUUUGAAAAGAAGCUGGUGCAUUACAUAACCCAAAAGACAUUCUACGAUAAGCAUAAGUUCCAUAAGGGCAUGUAAAAGUGGUUUUGCUUUGAUCAUCGGGAUGGAUCGGGAUCUGAUGAUACCCUGAAUAUCCAUCUAAGAAACAGAAGAAUGAAUGGUUCGCUAAUCGCUCUAGCAUCUCAUCUAUAAAAGGUAAAGGAAAGUGAUCCUUUCUCGUGGCUUUGUUUAGUUUUCUAUAGUCUAUGCACAUCCGCCAUCCUAUGAUGGUGCGUUGUGGAAUUAGCUCGUUCUUUUCAUUCAUAAUAACAGUCAUGCCUCCCUUUUUAAGCACAACUUGCACUGGGCUCACCCACUCACUAUGCGGCACAGGAUAUAUAAUCCCUGCAUGCAGCAACUUUAUAACUUCCUUUUUAACUACCUCUCUCAUAGUGUUAUUAAGUCUACGUUGGGGUUCUCGAGAAGGUGAAACAGAAGGAUCUGUUUGAAAACGAUGGGUACAAAUCAUAGGACUGAUUCCUGUAAGAUCUUGGAGUGAGUAGCCGAAAACUGAGUGAUGUUUCUCAAGAAUGGUCAUUAAUCGCAGAGUUUGAUCCUGAGUGAGUUUAUCGCUAAUGAUCACAGGAAACUCUGGAUUAUUGUUUAGGAAAGCAUAGGUAAGACCGGGUGGUAAAGUUUUAAGCUCUAUGGGGGGUCUAGGUGUUUCUGCAAACUCAUCUAAGGGUUCAGGUUCAGAAGGUUUGGUUUCUUCUUCAGUGAAGAAAGGAGUUUCGUCUUCUAAGUCUGGUUCAUCUAAAAGCUCUAGAGAUGCAGCCUUUACCUCCUCCAUAGGAUUAGGCAAAAGAUAUGACUCGGCCUUAUUAUUUAAGGAGUGUGAAAUUGUUAUUGGGAAUUUAAAGGCUUUUCCAAAAGAAAUGUGUAGCUUUCCAGUAUGACCUUCAUAAAGGAGUCUUCUAAAAGGUUGUCCAAUCAACAGGUCGAAGUCCCAUGUAUCAAAGAUAUAAAAGUUCAAAUGAACCAUGGAGCCUUCUACCGUAAGAGGUAGGACAUUAAUAAUUCCAAGACUGGGGACUAAUCGUCCUGAAGAUUCCUUUAUGACCUUUGUUGUGGGGGUUAAGACAAGAUUUUUAAAUAGUUUAAGUGCAAAAGAUUCAGACAUGAUGUUGAUCCCCACAACAGGAUUAUAGAGAGCAUUAAAUCGAUCAGAAUUAUAAGCACAGCUUAUAGUUAUAGAGGGUGUGUCCAAACGGAUCACAUCAGAGGAAAGCUCUAAUUCCUCCAACCAUUCGCUACUCAUGACUGAGAUAAGCUCUCUCAAUUGAUAUUCACUUGGCAAAUAAAUGCUAAACUGGUCGUUUUGGGGUUUGUCAAUAGAAUGGUAGUUUGAAAUGUUUCCAAAAUUGGCAAAAAGAUCAGAUUCUAUAUCCAGCAUGAAGUCCGGUGGUGGAAUUUCUUCCUCUUGUGGCUCAGAACUUGGGAUAGCUAAAGUAGAUGAAGAAUUUGGCAGAGUGUCUACUUCGGCUUCGUAGGUUUCAUCAUGAAGGGUAUUAUCUAUCUCAGCUUCUAGGAUUCUAUCUAGGAUCACUCUAGCUUCAUCAGUAGGGAUACGAAAGAAAGAACCUCUAGACAUUGUAUGUAGCAUUUGUUUGUGAUUUUUCUGAAGACCUCGAAAAAAGUGAAAUAAAAGAACAGGGUCUUCAAGAUUAAGGUUUGGACCAGAUUCUAAAAGAUCAGAAAAACGUUUCCAGGAUUUUCCCAAAGUUUCAUUAUCUUUUUGUUUAAAAGAUAGGACUUCGAGUCUAAGGUCGGCUAUACGGUCGAGGGAAUAGAAAUCUAGACAAAAGUUGGCUUGUAAAACUCCCCAUUCACCUCGUUGUUGACUUACCUUCUGACUGUACCAUUGUCUAGCUUCUCCCCUUAAAGAAAAAGGAAAAAGCUUCCAACAUAAAGUUUUAUCAGAAAUGCCUUCAAUGCGAAGACAAUCACAUGUUUGCUCAAAAUCUCUAAUAUGAAGGUAAGGGUUUUCGUCUUCCUUUCCCGAAAAAGAUAGGUUUUGAAUCAUGGCAAUCAACCUAGAACUUAACUUAUACUGGGAUGUUUGGAUAGGCUGUGAUGACUCCCAUGGUAAAAGGUCAAUUACUGAAGGGAUUGCAGAUUCAUGGAUCGAUUUAGAAUUUUGGUUUUCCAUAAGGUAAGAGUAAAGAAAAUAAAUAAAGAAUAUAAAAGAUAAAAGUAUAGAUACAAGCUAGUAGUAAGAAAAGAUAAAAGUAUAGAUACAAGCUAGUAGUAAUACUCAGCAAACCGUCUUUCUCCUCGGCAACGGCGCCAGAAAUGCUUGUUGAUAUUUGGGAACGCAAUAAGGAAUUGAUCCGCAAGCGCACGGAUAUCGGUGAGCACUUCACCCGGGAGGUUAUCCAGAGUAUCGUAUUUAUUUUUUUACCACUAGGAGAAAGAGUGCAUCUGACUAACCGGUCUAUUACUACUAACCCUUUAGGCACAAAGAAUGUCUUUCGAUGUGAGUGAUAAAUAGAGAAGACUGCAACCGUAGUCUCCUUCUAACCUUGGUAAGGAUGAUCUACUGUUCUAUUGGGGAGGCUAACGGAAUCUAGACACCACAAAGGAUGUUCAACCCGCACCUAUAAACCCUAUCCUUCCUGCUAACGAGAUAUGGUCUGCAAAGGUAACUCGGAAUUGUCACGUUCCUCGCUACUACCACGGUCUAGCUAGUCAGGGAAUAUCUAUGAGUACCCCAGCCUAAACACCACGUUUACGCCAGCAAUGAUUACUCUAAACUCUACGCGAAGAGAUUAAAGUAAACUCAUAAACCAGAAGAACAAUAAAACAAGAACUUACUAGAAUUUAGAAGUCGAAAUACUGAAGAAUCCUAGGAGCAAGCUUCGGGUUAGGAGAACUUGAUCCCGCAGGUACAAGCUUGGAGUAGACACCGACAGGCCAGGCUUCCUCCAAUCUACACCUCCACUCUAUCUCUCUCAAUCUAGUAGAAACUAGAAGAUCUAUUUCUACUUUACAUUGGUUGCUAAGCCUAAAAAGAAAUAUUAAUUAGGGAAGAGGUUUUCCUUCGAGGGCACCCCUCAAUCUCUAUGAUAACUUCUUCAUGUCUUCUCCAGGGGCCAGGGGGGUCUCCUUAUAUAGUCCUCCUCCUCUAUGCGUUUUUGGGUCGGUAGGCGAGGUGGUACUAUGUUAUUCUGGAUCCAAUAGGUCGGUGGAACAUCGUGUGCGAAGAGAGUCCUGAAUGGCUUCCAGCAGGGGGCGGGCGCCCUGGGCCUGGCCCCUUUCGGCCUCUGCUUUCUUCCCGUGGCUUCUGGAGUCUUCUAGAUGGUAGAAAAUCGCGCGGUGCGUUGAUAUCUCUUUGUAAUCCCGACAUGUGGGCCUUUUUUCCUUAUUUCCUGAUAACCCCCUGCAGAAACAGAUAAACAACAAAACUCGUGGAAUUCUGUUAGAUCAAACCCUAAUUCUAGGUGUUGUUUGCAUAUUGGUCCUUUCUCUUGUUUAUUUGAUAUUAAAAUUGGUACUUAAGAACCGUCAACAACCCACACUCCUUGGGUCCCACAUAUCUUGCUCCAUAUCUUGUGAUCCGACCAACCACCACCCACUCAACAUUAUUCUGCGUAAGAGCUAAGCAAUGGAGGGAAUGAAAAAAAGGGGCAGCCAGGAUGGCCACCAAAGGUGGGCGCCCGCCCACCUACAGAGGGCACCCGCCCUGUCCCUCCUUCAGCCUAUAAAAGGCCACCUCUUGCCUCCAACUUCUUCACACAAGCAUUCCAAAAAACCACGCAAGUUUUAGUUUCCACAGAAGGAGCUCUUGUAGUAGAGUAGGGAGGAAAGAGGAGAGAAAGAGAAGAGUGAAAGGGAGGUUGGUAGUUUUUGAGUAAGAGAGUAAGGCUCACCUAGUAAGUAGUGAUCCCGCUGUCCAGAGCAGAAAGUUGUUUAGGGGAGGUGCUGCCAAAAUAAAAACUUGUCUUGACGACUAACCCCUGGACUACUGAUAUUUCGGACAGCUGACCUUUAACAUUUUCCACCAGUUGUGUCUGUGUCAACUUUUGUCUGCAGGAUGUUCAAGAAGGUGAAGAAUGCGGGAAAGGCCCUCAAGAACAUAGGUACAAGGAGUUCGUCCCGACACUCCUCAGAGAUGAGCGUCGACCCGACACCCCUGCAAGCUCCGUCAUCUUCAUCUGAUCCGCGAGUCAAGGUCCUCCUCAAGACAGGAGACCUUGGACUGAAGACCCGCAGGGAGAAGGAAGUUUUCCAGCAGCUGAAGAAUAAGGAUUUCAUUCACACCCCCACUCUUGAUCCUAUCCUGCUACAAGAAACAGGUAUGGAUACUGAAUUUGACUUGAUUUUCCAGAUGGUGGGAUGGACAAAUUUUUGGAAUGAGCUGGGUUCCUGUCUUCUCGCCCUUGAAUUCCUUUGCACUUUACAAUAUUAUGAGGGGGGAAUUGCUUUUUGGAUGUUCAAACAGGACAUUAUGUUGUCUUGGAGAGAAUUGAGCGACCAUCUCGGUUUCUCUUCAAGAUGCAUCCUAGACAUUGACUCUGACUUACCCAAUUUUGAAAGACACUAGUUCUGGAGAGAGAUAUCUAGAGAUGAGUUUUAUAAUCAAGCCCGAACCAGCGACAUGGAACACCCCACUCUUAGGAUGUUCCACAAGUGGCUCAGGUACAAUCUUUUCCAUCGUGAUGAUAUUAGAAAAGUAAGAGUAGGAGAUUUGCAACUUCUAUAUGCUGCUACAAAUAAAAUACCCACUUCACCUGUUACUCUUUUAGUUUCUCAUUGGCUUAGUAUACCUAGUCUUCAAGAACCUGUCGGUUGUACUUCACUCGUCACUCGUCUAGCCUCUAAUCUCAAUUUGCUAGAAAACUCAUCAUUGGAAUUCAUUGACAAGUUACGAAUUUAUCAUGGCUAUGACACAUUUAGGCAAUCUCGGAUGUUGAAAAAAGAGGGGAACGUAAUGUACAUGUUAUACGAUAAUAAAGGCAAGAUUUGGUUACCUAACCCGAACCUUGGCCUCUAUGUCGUUCAAAAUUAUUUGAUUGAGAUUGCAGUGACACCGGUAAACCAGAGAGCUCCACAGCGAGUGACAUCUGAAAGGAUGACCACCUAUCAAGAACGCACCUGGUAUGGAGCUGAUCCCGGGCCGGAAGAAGCAGCGCACCUGCAUUAUUGCGACUACAACCCCCGAGUCCUUUGGGACCCAUGGGUUCGACAUGCUCAACCACAAGAGCCAACACAGGAGACAUGCCCGGAGGGUCAAGAUCACCAGUGGACAAACCCGCCUUUCCAUACGGCCAGGUACUCCACUGAUCCAUAUGGAGCUUCAGGGUCUAGACCCCAGCCCCAAUUCAAUGCAGGACGGUACUCCGACGCCUCUUAUGCUUUCACGAACGACUACUACCAAGAAGUCGCCGCCUUCUUCACCCGUACCGACAACACCCUCCUCGACAUCCAGAAUACGCAAGCAGAACAUGGACGACUCCUGGAACAGCAACAAAAGUGGAACCAGGACCACGCUACUGCAGUACAAGAACUGAGGCAAGACACUACAACAAUGAACGACAACAUCACCACCAUGAUGCGAUUCUGGAACAUUGGGUAAGACCGACAACCACAUCCAGCUUGGGGGAGUUUCUCCCCGUUUUAUCAAGUAAGUUUUUAUUUUGCUCUUCUUAAUUAUUCCUUUCUGUUUAAUAUUCUAUUUGUCUUAAAGAAAAAAACUUAGAAAACCCAAUAAAUAUUUUCUUGCUUUAAUUUACUGCAUUAUAUAAACAUAAAAACAAAAUAAAAAGAGUGUGUAGAUAAGUGUGCUUUAUUUAUCUGCUAAGUGUUAAUCUCUAGAAAAAUAAAAAGACUAAAAAGACGGAUGAUGGAAAGGAUAAACAGUUGCUCUGUUUGCUUACUUUCAAGUACUUAGCUUUUAUAUUGAAGAUCUUCCAGGAAUUACUAAAACUGAAAUUUACUAUCUAUGGGAAGCAUGAACCUAAAACUAAAGUCUAGGUAAGAGAAAGGCAUGAUAUAAAGUUUGAGCUACUGUUUAUCUUGUUCUUACAACACUGAGUUCUGGAGAUUUAUUUUGAAAACUUGCAAAUCACAUGAUGAGUUCCUAGCAUGACAAAAUUCCUACCACAACCAUACUUGCUAUAACAUCUUUUGCUACUUAUUUUUACAUUGAGUUUGAUCGAGCUGUGUAGACCCUUAGGAGCUUUUCAUGUGGUUAAAUUAAGAUAUUCACUUGCACACAUCUACUACACCAUCCAACACCAUUUAUUAAAAUUGCUAAAAAUAUUAUCACUCACUGUCCCAAGUGUUGUUAUUCUCUCUCUCCAAAAAGAUUCAAUGUAGAAGAAGCAUGGGUUAUGCAAAAAUAUGCGAGGAAAUAAAAAGAGGCAAGUGCCCGGAACCUCAAAAAAGAAAGAAAAAAAAAGAGAGUGAGACGAGAGGUAAAAACGGACAAGUGUCCAGAGUAGAAUUAGGGGCACAAAGAUGCCCACUUGAGCGGAAAAAAUGGACAAGUGUCCGACAGUAGAAUUAGGGGUAUUUACUACCCACCUAAAAAAAUAGCCCAUGUUCUCCCAAAGCAAAGAUCAAGAGAGGAGGAGAGAUAGCAAUAUGAGGAGCAAUGAGAAGUAUGUUUUAUCAUCACUUAUACAUUUUUACCAUCACUAUCAUUUACUCCACCACACAUGCACAUCUUGAUUUAAUUAUAUGCUGAGUUCCUUUGGAUCCAUGACUCGAUUAGACA